rnacentral:lncRNA from 10 species
GGUGAGAAAGGACAGGCCUAGACAAUGAAGCAAGGGGCGAGUGGGUGGAUGGGUAAAACCACCUGCUCCUCAAAACAGCCAGGCUCUGAGAUGAAGCAGGAAUCUGCACUUAAACCGAGGCUGGAUCCAUCCUAGGGAUUCAAGCCUGUGUUGUCAAGCGAAAACAGAAAAGAGAAGGGAAUUCCACCUUUGCCCACUGAGAACACAUCUAUGCUGAGAACACAUCUACCCAACUCCUCUGUCACAACCCCUGUGAGAAGGUUCUGCCAUCUCCCAGCCCUGAAGAUUGUGAGCUCCCUGAUGGCCCUGGGCCUCCCUCCCGACAGCUGAGGCCCUUCCUGGAUCUCUACACGUCACCAAGCUAAGCCAGUGUUCCAAAAUAGUCUCCUGAACAAUGAUGACAACUGCACAGUUAUUUUGGAAGAACUUCCUGGCAGUGAUGGCAGUGGAACAUUGGAAACAGAGAUGAACAGGAGGUGGGAAGAGGAGGCUAAGUACAUGUAGGCCUAAAAGUCUCUGCCUUGGGAGAUUUUUAACAGUCCUGGAUGGAGAAAGGGAGAGCCAUUUGGUCAAGAGGCUGCCCAUCAGAUCCUGUGUCCUUCUGCACUGCUAAUAUCUAUCUGUGGCCCUGCUUUAAAACCCAAAUACGAACAUCUCUUCCAUGAAGCCCUUCCUGAUUGCCAGUGCCCUCAACAGUGGGAUAAACUGCCAGGCAUCUUGGAGAUCUAGACCCGUGGUUCUCAAUCCCGACUUCCCCCGGCCUCCUGAGAAGCUUUUAAUAGGUGCAUCAGCCCUGGAUUCUUACCAGUAGGUCUGAGAGGGAGGCUUAGCGCUUGUGUUCUUUUAAUAGUGUGCACAGGGUUGACGGGAAACACACACACACUGUGCAGAACCAUUCCACGAGGCUGUGUGUCCGGAAUUGGUUCCCUCCAAUGGGUUCCUGGUGCCGCUGACUUCAAGAAUGAAGCCGCGGACCCUCGCAGUGUUACACUUCUUAAAGACGGUGUGUCCAGAGUUUGUUCCUUCAGAUGUUCAGAUGUGUCAGGAGUUUCUUCCUUCUACUGGGUUCGUGGUCUAUGCACGACUUCAUGAGUGAAGCCGCAGACCUUUGCAGUGAGCGUUACAGCUCUUAAAGGUGGUGCGUCCGGAGUUGUUUGUUCCUCCCGGUGGGUUCGUGGUCUGGCUGACUUCAGGGGUGAAGCCGCAGACCUUCACAGUGAGUCUUAUAGCUCUUAAAGCCACAGUGAGUCUUAUGGCGGCUCCAGAGUUGUUUGUUUCUCAUGGUGGGUUCCUGGUCUGGCUGGCUUCAGGAGUGAAGCUGCAAACCUUCACCAUGAGUGUUACAGCUCAUAAAGGUAGUGUGGACCUAAAAAGUGAGCAGCAGCAAGAUUUAUUGCAAAAGGGGAAAGAACAAAUCUCCCACAAUGUGGGAGGGGACCCGAACGGGGAAG